AUCCAGCUGACGAAUUUAAAAUAGGACGAAAAACACACGUCCUGGAU
rnacentral:hammerhead_ribozyme from 1 species